rnacentral:rRNA from 1 species
UACGUAGGGUGCAAGCGUUGUCCGGAAUUAUUGGGCGUAAAGAGCUCGUAGGCGGUCUGUCGCGUCGGUCGUGAAAACUUGGGGCUUAACCCUGAGCUUGCGGUCGAUACGGGCAUGACUUGAGUUCGGCAGGGGAGACUGGAAUUCCUGGUGUAGCGGUGAAAUGCGCAGAUAUCAGGAGGAACACCGGUGGCGAAGGCGGUUCUCUGGGCAUUACCUGACGCUGAGGAGCGAAAGCAUGGGGAGCGAACAGG